rnacentral:rRNA from 1 species
GACGAACGCUGGCGGCGUGCUUAACACAUGCAAGUCGAACGGAAAGGCCCUGCUUGUGUGGGGUGCUCGAGUGGCGAACGGGUGAGGAACACGUGAGUAACCUGCCCUUGACUUUGGUAUAACUUCAGGAAACUGGGGCUAAUACCGGAUAGGAGCUGCUGCUGCAUGGAGGGGGUUGGAAAGUUUCGGCGGUUGGGGAUGGACUCGCGGCUUAUCAGCUUGUUGGUGGGGGAGUGGCUUACCAAGGCUUUGACGGGUAGCCGGCCUGAGAGGGUGACCGGCCCCAUUGGGACUGAGAUACGGCCCAGACUCGUACAGGAGGCAGCAGUGGGGAAUAUUCCACAAUGGGCGGACGCCUGAUGCAGCAACGCCGCGUGCGGGAUGACGGCCUUCGGGUUGUAAACCGCUUUCGCCUGUGACGAAGCGUGAGUGACGGUAAUGCGUAAAGAAGCACCGGCUAACUACGUG